GACAGAGGUGCCGAGCGUUAGGCGGAAUCACUGGGCUUAAAGCGUGUGUAGGCGGACCGUUAAGUACCUUGUGAAAUCCCACGGCUCAACCGUGGAACGGCUGGGUAUACUGGCGGUCUUGGGCCACCUAGGGGUCAUCGGAACAGGCGGUGGAGCGGUGAAAUGCGUAGAUAUCGCCUAGAACGCCGACGGUGAAAACAGAUGACUGGGGGUGUGCCGACGCUGAGACACGAAAGCCAGGGGAGCGAACGGG
rnacentral:rRNA from 1 species